rnacentral:rRNA from 1 species
GAAGGUCUGUCGAGAGGCAGGCUGGAGGUAUCACGAGUGCGAAUGCUGACAUGAGUAACGACAAGGGGAGUGAAAAACUCCCCCGCCGGAAGACCAAGGGUUUCUGUUCGACGCUAAUCGGAGCAGAGUGAGUCGGCCCCUAAGGUGAGGCUGAAAAGCGUAGCCGAUGGGAAACGGGUCAAUAUUCCCGUACCUCACAGUAUUGCGAUGGGGGGACGAAGAAGGCUAGGUGAGCCAGGCGUUGGUUGUCCUGGUGAAAGUCAGUAGGCUGGGGGUUCAGGCAAAUCCGGACCCCUGAGGCCGAGAGACGAGACGAACAGACUACGGUCUGGAAGUCAUCGAUGCCACGCUUCCAGGAAAAGCCUCUAAGCUUCAGAUACUGUGGGACCGUACCCCAAACCGACACAGGUGGUCAGGUAGAGAAUACCAAGGCGCUUGAGAGAACUCGGGUGAAGGAACUAGGCAAAAUGGUGCCGUAACUUCGGGAGAAGGCACGCCGCAUUAGGGUGAAGGGACUGGCUCCCAGAGCCCGACGCGGUCGAAGAUACCAGGUGGCUGCAACUGUUUAUUAAAAACACAGUACUCUGCAAACGCGUAAGCGGACGUAUAGGGUAUGACGCCUGCCCGGUGCCGGAAGGUUAAUUGAUGGUGUUAGCUUCGGCGAAGCUCCUGAUCGAAGCCCCGGUAAACGGCGGCCGUAACUAUAACGGUCCUAAGGUAGCGAAAUUCCUUGUCGGGUAAGUUCCGACCUGCACGAAUGGCGUAAUGAUGGCCACGCUGUCUCCACCCGAGACUCAGUGAAAUUGAAAUCGCAGUGAAGAUGCUGUGUACCCGCGGCUAGACGGAAAGACCCCGUGAACCUUUACUACAGCUUCACACUGGACGCUGAUGUUGCUUGUGUAGGAUAGCUGGGAGGCUUGGAAACCGUAGCGCCAGCUGCGGUGGAGCCAACCUUGAAAUACCAGCCUGGCAUCAUUGGCGUUCUAACUCAGGUCCGUGAUCCGGAUCGAGGACCGUGUGUGGUGGGUAGUUUGACUGGGGCGGUCUCCUCCCAAAGCGUAACGGAGGAGCACGAAGGUACCCUCAGCACGGUUGGAAAUCGUGCAAUGAGUGCAAGAGCAUAAGGGUGCUUAACUGCGAGACAGACACGUCGAGCAGGUACGAAAGUAGGUUCUAGUGAUCCGGUGGUUCUGUAUGGAAGGGCCAUCGCUCAACGGAUAAAAGGUACUCCGGGGAUAACAGGCUGAUACCGCCCAAGAGUUCACAUCGACGGCGGUGUUUGGCACCUCGAUGUCGGCUCAUCACAUCCUGGGGCUGAAGUCGGUCCCAAGGGUAUGGCUGUUCGCCAUUUAAAGUGGUACGCGAGCUGGGUUUAGAACGUCGUGAGACAGUUCGGUCCCUAUCUGCCGUGGGCGUUGGAGAUUUGAGAAGCGCUGCUCCUAGUACGAGAGGACCGGAGUGGACGUACCUCUGGUGUUCCGGUUGUCAUGCCAAUGGCAUUGCCGGGUAGCUAUGUACGGACGGGAUAACCGCUGAAAGCAUCUAAGCGGGAAGCCCCCUUCAAGAUGAGAUCUCCCCGAGGCCUCGAGCCUCCUGAAGGACCCAGCAAGACCAGCUGGUUGAUAGGUCGGAUGUGGAAGCGCUGCAAGGCGUUGAGCUAACCGAUACUAAUUGUCCGUGAGGCUUGACCAUAUAACACCCAAGCGGUCUG